rnacentral:rRNA from 1 species
AGCGCAGGCGGCCAAGUCAGUCUGAAGUGAAAGCCCGGGGGCUUAACCCCCGGAAUAGCUUUGGAUACUGCCUGGCUUGAGUGUGCGAUAGGAAAGCGGAAUUCCAGGUGUAGCGGUGAAAUGCGUAGAUAUCUGGAGGAACACCGGUGGCGAAAGCGGCUUUCUGGCGCAUAACUGACGCUGAGGCUCGAAAGCGUGGGGAGCGAACGG